GAUGAACGCUGGCUACAGGCUUAACACAUGCAAGUCGAGGGGAAACGACGGGGAAGCUUGCUUCCCCGGGCGUCGACCGGCGCACGGGUGAGUAACGCGUAUCCAACCUGCCUCUGACUGAGGGAUAACCCGUCGAAAGUCGGCCUAAUACCUCAUGGUAUCGUCUGCGGGCAUCCAACGACGAUUAAAGAUUUCAUCGAUCAGGGAUGGGGAUGCGUCUGAUUAGCUUGUUGGCGGGGUAACGGCCCACCAAGGCUACGAUCAGUAGGGGUUCUGAGAGGAAGGUCCCCCACAUUGGAACUGAGACACGGUCCAAACUCCUACGGGAGGCAGCAGUGAGGAAUAUUGGUCAAUGGGCGAGAGCCUGAACCAGCCAAGUAGCGUGCAGGAAGACGGCCCUAUGGGUUGUAAACUGCUUUUAUGCGGGGAUAAAGUGAGGGACGUGUCCCUCAUUGCAGGUACCGCAUGAAUAAGGACCGGCUAAUUCCGUG
rnacentral:rRNA from 1 species